GUGCCAGCAGCCGCGGUAAUACCGGCAGCCCGAGUGAUGGCCGAUGUUAUUGGGCCUAAAGCGUCCGUAGCUGGCCAUGCAAGUCCACUGGGAAAUCCACCCGCCCAACGGGUGGGCGUCCGGUGGAAACUGUGUGGCUUGGGACCGGAAGGCGCGACGGGUACGUCCGGGGUAGGAGUGAAAUCCCGUAAUCCUGGACGGACCGCCGAUGGCGAAAGCACGUCGCGAAGACGGAUCCGACAGUGAGGGACGAAAGCUAGGGUCUCGAACCGGAUUAGAACCCUGGUAGUCC
rnacentral:rRNA from 1 species